CUCCCCCUCUAAUUUUCUUUCCAAAAACAAACCACCCCACCUCCAUGCCACAAUCCUGGCCAGACUCCGCAGGCGCACGCCUUCAUCCUCGCUCGAGCCCUCAGCUUCACGCGCGAUCAGCCACCGACCCACCGUUGUCCCCAUCCACCGCUCCCCCAUCUCCGCCCUCACCCCGUCACCUGCCAGGGUCUUGCGCCAUCCUCGACGUCGUGGGCGGUCCCGUUGUCACGCGUGCCUUGGACGCCGUCAUCCGCAUCCGCCGCUUCCCCGAUGUUGCCUCACCCGCCAGGGUCUUGUGCCAUCCUCGUUGUUGCGGGCGCUGCCGCCUCACCAACCGAUCGAUGGGGAGACAACGCUCAUGGACAUGGCAAGUUCGUCGAGAUCCAUGACCAUGACCUCAACUUCUCAGAUCUUGGCAACAGAAGAAGUGAGGAGAUCUAUGAUGGCAUCUCGGGGAAGGGAGAAUUGAUGGAGUCUGUGUAGGAGCUACACCAGGUGCCCUUACGAAGGGGAGAUCAAUUGUGUGCAACGGCGAAGCUCAAAUAAUCUCGUGAUGGAGGUGGAUUGGUUUUUGGUCGUUGUUGACCCUGCUGUUAGGCAUGGGUUUUCUGCAAAUUCCAUGGAUCCGGUUAGUAGUCCUUUUUAACGGAAUCAAUCGUUUGUCCAUGGUAUGUCACCUAGCUAGCCUUUAUCUAUGAGUAUUAUGGUUU